UGACGCUGGCGGCAGGCCUAACACAUGCAAGUCGAGCGGUAGAGAGAAGCUUGCUUCUCUUGAGAGCGGCGGACGGGUGAGUAAUGCCUAGGAAUCUGCCUAGUGGUGGGGGAUAACGUUCGGAAACGGACGCUAAUACCGCAUACGUCCUACGGGAGAAAGCGGGGGACCUUCGGGCCUCGCGCCAUUAGAUGAGCCUAGGUCGGAUUAGCUAGUUGGUGAGGUAACGGCUCACCAAGGCGACGAUCCGUAACUGGUCUGAGAGGAUGAUCAGUCACACUGGAACUGAGACACGGUCCAGACUCCUACGGGAGGCAGCAGUGGGGAAUAUUGGACAAUGGGCGAAAGCCUGAUCCAGCCAUGCCGCGUGUGUGAAGAAGGUCUUCGGAUUGUAAAGCACUUUAAGUUGGGAGGAAGGGUAGUAACUUAAUACGUUGCUAUUUUGACGUUACCGACAGAAUAAGCACCGGCUAACUUCGUGCCAGCAGCCGCGGUAAUACGAAGGGUGCAAGCGUUAAUCGGAAUUACUGGGCGUAAAGCGCGCGUAGGUGGUUCAGUAAGUUGGAUGUGAAAUCCCCGGGCUCAACCUGGGAACUGCAUCCAAAACUGCUGAACUAGAGUACGGUAGAGGGUGGUGGAAUUUCCUGUGUAGCGGUGAAAUG
rnacentral:rRNA from 1 species